CCUACGGGAGGCAGCAGUGGGGAAUUUUGCGCAAUGGGGGCAACCCUGACGCAGCAACGCCGCGUGAGUGAUGAAGGCCUUCGGGUCGUAAAGCUCUGUCAGAGGGGAAGAAAUGCAGGUGGUGAACAACCAUUCUGUUUGACGGUACCCUCAAAGGAAGCACCGGCUAAAUCCGUGCCAGCAGCCGCGGUAAUACGGAGGGUGCGAGCGUUGUUCGGAAUUAUUGGGCGUAAAGCGCGUGUAGGCGGUUUUUUAAGUCGGAUGUAAAAGCCCCGGGCUCAACCGGGGAAGGGAAUGGGAUACCGGCAGACUUGAGUACGGGAGAGGAGAGUGGAAUUCCCAGUGUAGGAGUAAAAUCCGUAGAUAUGGGGAGGAACACCGGUGGCGAAGGCGGCUCUCUGGACCGAUACUGACGCUGAGACGCGAAAGCGGGGGGAGCAAACAGGAUUAGAUACCCCGGUAGU
rnacentral:rRNA from 1 species